ACCCCUCAGAUUCCUUACGCAUCUAAUCUAAACAUUGGUCUGAGUGGUUGUCAAAGGAGGGAACGUUAAACUGAAACCCAAGCGGGGUUGGAGACUUUA
rnacentral:snoRNA from 1 species